UACGAGGGGGGCGAGCGUUGUUCGGAAUUAUUGGGCGUAAAGGGUGCGUAGGCGGUUUGGUAAGUCUGAUGUGAAAUCUAUGGGCUCAACUCAUAGUCUGCAUCGGAAACUGCCGGGCUUGAGUGUGGGAGAGGUGAGUGGAAUUCCUGGUGUAGCGGUGGAAUGCGUAGAGAUCCGGAAGAACACCGGUGGCGAAGGCGGCCUUCUGGACAGUGACUGACGCUGAGACGCGAAAGCGUGGGGAGCAAACAGG
rnacentral:rRNA from 1 species